GCAAAAGCUCAAAUUUGAAAUCUAGUACCUUCGGUGCUCGAGUUGUAAUUUGUAGAGGGAUACUUUGGGGCCGUUCCUUGUCUAUGUUCCUUGGAACAGGACGUCAUAGAGGGUGAGAAUCCCGUGUGGCGAGGAGUGCGGUUCUAUGUAAAGUGCCUUCGAAGAGUCGAGUUGUUUGGGAAUGCAGCUCUAAGUGGGUGGUAAAUUCCAUCUAAAGCUAAAUAUUGGCGAGAGACCGAUAGCGAACAAGUACAGUGAUGGAAAGAUGAAAAGAACUUUGAAAAGAGAGUGAAAAAGUACGUGAAAUUGUUGAAAGGGAAGGGCAUUUGAUCAGACAUGGUGUUUUGCGCCCUCCGCUCCUUGUGGGUGGGGGACUCUCGCAGCUCACUGGGCCAACAUCAGUUUUGGUGGUCGGACAAAUCCGUAGGAAUGUAGCUUACCUCGGUAAGUGUUAUAGCCUGCGGGAAUACGGCCAGCCGGGACUGAGGACUGCGACUUUUGUCAAGGAUGUUGGCAUAAUGGUUAUAUGCCGCCCGUCUUGAAACACGGACCAAGGAGUCUAACGUCUAUGCGAGUGUUUGGGUGUAAAACCCGUACGCGUAAUGAAAGUGAACGUAGGUUGGGGCCCUCUCGGGGGUGCACAAUCGACCGAUCCUGAUGUUUUCAGAUGGAUUUGAGUAAGAGCAUAGCUGUUGGGACCCGAAAGAUGGUGAACUAUGCCUGAAUAGGGUGAAGCCAGAGGAAACUCUGGUGGAGGCUCGUAGCGGUUCUGACGUGCAAAUCGAUCGUCGAAUUUGGGUAUAGGGGGCGAAAGACUAAUCGAACCAUCUAGUAG
rnacentral:rRNA from 1 species